UUGGAUGCGUCGAAUCAAAAAAAAAAAAAAAAAAAAAAAAAAAAAAAAAAAAAAAAAAAGU
rnacentral:ribozyme from 13 species